rnacentral:lncRNA from 1 species
UCUCGUCCCAGGCUCCGCUCGCUAGCUCCCGCAUCCCAAGCUCCAUAUCGCACCCCAGACCCGCACGCAAGCCAGCACACCCAAACCACCCUAAAACCAAUCGCGCUCACUAUCAGGACCUCGCGCUCGUGUGUUGCCCAUUGCCUUCGCACCCGCUUCGCGUGAACACCCGUAUCCGCACCCAAAACCUGUGACCGCACCCGA